UACGGAGGGUGCAAGCGUUAUCCGGAUUCACUGGGUUUAAAGGGUGCGUAGGCGGGUAUGUAAGUCAGUGGUGAAAUCCUUGAGCUUAACUCGAGAACUGCCAUUGAUACUAUAUGUCUUGAAUAUCCUGGAGGUCUGCGGAAUAUGUCAUGUAGCGGUGAAAUGCGUAGAGAUUGGGUGGAACACCGGUGGCGAAGGCGGCUAUCUGGCUCACAACUGACGAUCAGGCACGAAAGCGUGGGGAGCAAACAGG
rnacentral:rRNA from 1 species